AUAAAUUUGUUGGCUGUUGGCUGUUAUGAUCAAGUAUAUAACGUCUCCAGUUCACACUCCAAGGCUGUUGGCUGUUAUGACCAAGUGUCAGAUUAAAAAAUCUUCUUAAAACCAGUUCUACUCUUCUUAACUUAGUAUCUAGAAUCAUAGAAGGAAUCACAAAUUUACUUUGACAGAGCGAAUUUUUAGUUCUAUACUGCAGUGGCUGUUGAAAAACUUGCUGUCAGGGCCUGAAAAAUAUUUUAUGUAUCAGCUCAAGGCUGCUAAAUUCUCGUCAAUGGACAUGGAAUGUGAUGAAUGAAGGCUUGUUUAACCUUGCCCUGCAUUUAAGUGAAGUCGGUGCAUUCUUCUUGAUAUCAAAGUUGUGGGCUGAUAUGAAGUUGGGCAUGCUUAAAGGCUGAAGAUCGUCACUUCAGUCUUCCUUGUAUCUGUGGUUUUAUAAAGAGUUAUGCUUGAACAUAUACAAUUCGUGGCUAUCAACUCUCCUUACGGCUUAAUGCGCAGCUACCUAAGUGAAGAAUUGAUAUGAACAAACAAAGGGGUAUUUGGAGAUAUGUGUUUUGGCUGGAAUUUUUUUUGUUUUUAAGUUUCUAUUUAUUUACUGAAGAACAUAAAACAGAGA